rnacentral:lncRNA from 1 species
UAACCAUUGAUCCAGCAACAGGAAGUACCAAGCAUAGUCUGCCUUCUGGCCUUUCAAGAGGAAAGAACCACUCCUAAUUUAUGCAAUGCAAUUUGGAGUUUCAAAUUCAAACAUAUGUUGCCAUACUUUUGCUUUGGAUGAAUGAAGGCAGCUAGCUGUAGGGAUGGAGAAAAGCCAGGCCAACGGAAGGGAGAGGCAAGAAAAGCAUCUAGGGAUAUGCAAGAGCACUCUGCCCUGGGAAUUCCCAACAAGGCUGAGCAACCACCUUACUGGCAGCUUUCCCCAGUCCCAUUUCCCAAAGGAAUCCUACAUUGAGAC